CGACGUAGGUAACCUGCCUGGUAGUGGGGGAUAACUAUUGGAAACGAUAGCUAAUACCGCAUAAUAACAGUUGUUGCAUGACAACUGUUUGAAAGGUGCAAUUGCAUCACUACCAGAUGGACCUGCGUUGUAUUAGCUAGUUGGUGGGGUAACGGCUCACCAAGGCGACGAUACAUAGCCGACCUGAGAGGGUGAUCGGCCACACUGGGACUGAGACACGGCCCAG
rnacentral:rRNA from 1 species